GGGGGAAUAUUGCACAAUGGAGGAAACUCUGAUGCAGCGACGCCGCGUGAGCGAUGAAGUAUUUCGGUAUGUAAAGCUCUAUCAGCAGGGAAGAUAAUGACGGUACCUGAGUAAGAAGCUCCGGCUAAAUACGUGCCAGCAGCCGCGGUAAUACGUAUGGAGCAAGCGUUAUCCGGAUUUACUGGGUGUAAAGGGAGUGUAGGCGGCUUUGCAAGUCAGAUGUGAAAGCCCGGGGCUCAACCCCGGGACUGCAUUUGAAACUGUGAAGCUGGAGUGUCGGAGAGGUAAGUGGAAUUCCCGGUGUAGCGGUGGAAUGCGUAGAUAUCGGGAGGAACACCAGUGGCGAAGGCGACCUACUGGGCACCAACUGACGCUGAGGCUCGAAAGCAUGGGUAGCAAACAGGAUUAGAUACCCUGGUAGU
rnacentral:rRNA from 1 species